GGCUUCUUGAUCCCGUUAAUGGUUACUCUGUUAAGGAAACAUAUAAAUUUCUAACAGCAGGUGAUGAAUCUAUUGCAAGUGGAUUGUUCAAUGACGUUUGGCAUAAGAAAGUCCCAUUAAAGGUUUCAAUUUUUGCUUGGCGUCUUCUCCAUAACCGUCUUCUGACAAAAGAUAAUCUCUUGCGCCGUCAUGUCCUUCAGA
rnacentral:lncRNA from 1 species